AGUGGAACUCCUGGGUUUUAUGGUAAGUGUAUGUUUCAAUUUAGAAGAAAUUGUCAAACUAUUUUCCAAAAUGGCUUUAACAUUUAGCAUUCCCACUAGAAAU
rnacentral:pre_miRNA from 4 species